GACGAACGCUGGCGGCGUGCCUAAUACAUGCAAGUCGAACGCACAGUUUAUACCGUAGCUUGCUACACCAUAGACUGUGAGUUGCGAACGGGUGAGUAACGCGUAGGUAACCUGCCUGGUAGCGGGGGAUAACUAUUGGAAACGAUAGCUAAUACCGCAUAAUAUUGAUUAUUGCAUGAUAAUUGAUUGAAAGAUGCUAUUGCAUCACUACCAGCUGGACCUUCGUUGUAUUAGCUAGUAGGUGAGGUAACGGCUCACCUAGGCGACGAUACAUAGCCGACCUGAGAGGGUGAUCGGCCACACUGGGACUGAGACACGGCCCAGACUACUGCGGGAGGCAGCAGUAGGGAAUCUUCGGCAAUGGACGAAAGUCUGACCGAGCAACGCCGCGUGAGUGAAGAAGGUUUUCGGAUCGUAAAGCUCUGUUGUAAGAGAAGAACGGGUGUGAGAGUGGAAAGUUCACACUGUGACGGUAUCUUACCAGAAAGGGACGGCUAACUACGUG
rnacentral:rRNA from 1 species